rnacentral:rRNA from 1 species
AACGAACGCUGGCGGCAUGCCUAACACAUGCAAGUCGAACGAAGGCUUCGGCCUUAGUGGCGCACGGGUGCGUAACGCGUGGGAAUCUGCCCCUCGGUUCGGAAUAACCAGGAGAAAUCCUGGCUAAUACCGGAUGAUGACGUAAGUCCAAAGAUUUAUCGCCGAGGGAUGAGCCCGCGUAGGAUUAGCUAGUUGGUGGGGUAAAGGCCUACCAAGGCGACGAUCCUUAGCUGGUCUGAGAGGAUGAUCAGCCACACUGGGACUGAGACACGGCCCAGACUCCUACGGGAGGCAGCAGUGGGGAAUAUUGGACAAUGGGCGAAAGCCUGAUCCAGCAAUGCCGCGUGAGUGAUGAAGGCCCUCGGGUCGUAAAGCUCUUUUACCCGGGAUGAUAAUGACAGUACCGGGAGAAUAAGCUCCGGCUAACUCCGUGCCAGCCGCCGCAGUAACAC